rnacentral:rRNA from 1 species
UACGUAGGGGGCAAGCGUUGUCCGGAAUUAUUGGGCGUAAAGCGCGCGCAGGCGGCUAUGUAAGUCUGGUGUAUAACCUCAGGGCUCAACCCUGGGUCGCACUGGAAACUGUGUAGCUUGAGUACAGAAGAGGAAAGUGGAAUUCCACGUGUAGCGGUGAAAUGCGUAGAGAUGUGGAGGAACACCAGUGGCGAAGGCGACUUUCUGGGCUGUAACUGACGCUGAGGCGCGGAAGCGUGGGGAGCAAACAGG